rnacentral:tRNA from 1 species
UGUCCAGGGAUGGGAAUCGAACCCACAGUGUUCCGCUUACCGGGCAGAUGCCAAGUCCACUAGGCUUCCGGUAAGC